AUUUAACAAUGGCUUGUAACCCAAGUGGGGGCUUUAAGGUGGUUGGAGGUUGGUUCAUCGUAUCUUGUCGGAACUCUUAAGAGGACUACUUGCUUGCCCAUUCCAAGAAUGGAGUUGGGCCUCGCAUUUUAGACGAAAGUCCAAAGUGCGAUGCCUUUAGAUUGGAGGAAACCGCGUGAGGUUGGCCUUACAGAGCAGCGUCACCUCCUGCUCUCGUCGGUGGACGGAUAACGUGCAAGUUCUUGAGAGCCCAAUUACCCUGGUACGAAGUUCAAACAAGACAACCAACUUUUUGCAUCUUUGUUCGUACAAACUCUUGAGAAAUUUUUUCCAACACUUUUUCUAAUACUUCACCACGUUCUUUUGUAGCCGGACCGUUCUAUUCGGCUUGGGCUUCGACUUUAUGGACAUAAGUAUAUAGCAGUACAGUUGUGUCGUAGAAUCAUUACAUGCUCACUUUUGAUGCAUUUUCUUUGUCGUCUUACAUAAAUUUCCAACAAAGUCUGUCCCAAGCCCGUAUCCGAUUUUACUUACACAUCCAAUUUGCGAAUCACACCGUUGUUCGGUGCUUCUUUGGUACAAACGUACGUGGGUCUUUUAUGAACACGCAUACAUUCAUUGCCAAACUUGUCCCACAUUGAAAAUUUUUGAAUCUACAAGUCUGUGUAUGUAUGGAAAAGUUGAGCUUACCAUCGCCGAGCCACUUAACAAUGGCUUGUAACCCAAGUGGGGGCUUUAAGGUGGUUGGAGGUUGGUUCAUCGUAUCUUGUCGGAACUCUUAAGAGGACUACUUGCUUGCCCAUUCCAAGAAGGAGUUGGGCCUCGCAUUCUAGACGAAAGUCCAAAGUGCGAUGCCUUUAGAUUGGAGGAAACCGCGUGAGGUUGGCCUUACAGAGCAGCGUCACCUCCUGCUCUCGUCGGUGGACGGAUAACGUGCAAGUUCUUGAGAGCCCAAUUACCCUGGUACGAAGUUCAAAACAAGACAACCAACUUUUUGCAUCUUUGUUCUCACAAACUCUUGAGAAUAUUUUUCCAACAUUUUUUCUAAUACUUCACGACGUUCUUUUGUAGACGGACCGUUCUAUUCGGCUUGGGCUUCGACUUUAUGGACAUAAGUAUAUAGCAGUACAGUUGUGUCGUAGAAUCAUUACAUGCUCACUUUUGAUGCAUUUUCUUUGUCGUUUUACAUAAAUUUCCAACAAAGUAUGUCCCAAGCCCGUAUCCGAUUUUACUUACACAUCCAAUUUGCGAAUCACACCAUUGUUCGGUGUUUCUUUGGUACAAACGUACGUGGGUCUUUUAUGAACACGCAUACAUAUAUUGCCAAACUUGUCCCACAUUGAAAUUUUUUGAAUCUACAAGUAUGUGUAUGUAUGGAAAAGUUGAGCGUUACCAUCGUCGAGCCACUUAACAAUGGCUUGUAACCCAAGUGGGGGCUUUAAGGUGGUUGGAGGUUGGUUCAUCGUAUCUUGUCGGAACUCUUAAGAGGACUACUUGCUUGCCCAUUCCAAGAAGGGAGUUGGGCCUCGCAUUCUAGACGAAAGUCCAAAGUGCGAUGCCUUUAGAUUGGAGGAAACCGCGUGAGGUUGGCCUUACAGAGCAGCGUCACCUCCUGCUCUCGUCGGUGGACGGAUAACGUGCAAGUUCUUGAGAGCCCAAUUACCCUGGUACGAAGUUCAAAACAAGACAACCAACUUUUUGCAUCUUUGUUCGUACAAACUCUUGAGAAUAUUUUUCCAACACUUUUUCUAAUACUUCACGACGUUCUUUUGUAGCGGACCGUUCUAUUCGGCUUGGGCUUCGACUUUAUGGACAUAAGUAUAUAGCAGUACAGUUGUGUCGUAGAAUCAUUACAUGCUCACUUUUGAUGCAUUUUCUUUGUGGUCUUACCUAAAUUUCCAACAAAGUCUGUCCCAAGCCCGUAUCCUAUUUUACUUACACAUCCAUUUUGUGAAUCACACCGUUGUUCGAUGCUUCUUUGGUACAAAGGUACGUGGGUCUUUUAUGAACACGCAUACUUUCAUUGCCAAACUUGUCCCACAUUGAAAAUUUUUGAAUCUACAAGUCUGUGUAUGUAUGGAAAAGUUGAGCGUUACCAUCGUCGAGCAAUUUAACAAUGGCUUGUAACCCAUGUGGGGGCUUUAAGGUGGUUGGAGGUUGGUUCAUUGUAUCUUGUCGGAACUCUUAAGAGGACUACUUGGCCCAUUCCAAGAAGGGAGUUGGGCCUCGCAUUCUAGACGAAAGUCCAAAGUGCGAUGCCUUUAGAUUGGAGGAAACCGCGUGAGGUUGGCCUUACAGAGCAGCGUCACCUCCUGCUCUCGUCACUCGUGCUUCUUGACGUCGUACGGAUAACGUGCAAGUUCUUGAGAGCCCAAUACCCUGGUACGAAGUUCAAAAGACAACCAACUUUUUGCAUCUUUGUUCGUACAAACUCUUGAGAAUAUUUUCCAACACUUUUUCUAAUACUUCACGACGUUUUUUGUAGACGGACCGUUCUAUUCGGCUUGGCUUCGACUUUAUGGACAUAAGUAUAUAGCAGUACAGUUGUGUCGUAGAAUCAUUACAUGCUCACUUUUGAUGCAUUUUCUUUGUGUCUUACAUAAAUUUUCAACAAAGUCUGUCCCAAGCCCGUAUCCGAUUUUAGUUACACAUCCAAUUUACGAAUCACACCGUUGUUCGGUGCUUCUUUGGUACAAACGUACGUGGGUCUUUUAUAAACACGCAUACAUUCAUUGCCAAACUUGUCCCACAUUGAAAAUUUUUGAAUCUACAAGUCUGUGUAUGUAUGGAAAAGUUGAGCGUUACCAUCGCCGAGCCAUGGCUUGUAACCCAAGUGGGGGCUUUAAGGUGGUUGGAGGUUGGUUCAUCGUAUCUUGUCGGAACUCUUAAGAGGACUACUUGCUUGCCCAUUCCAAGAAGGGAGUUGGGCCUCGCAUUCUAGACGAAAGUCUAAAGUGCGAUGCCUUUAGAUUGGAGGAAACCGCGUGAGGUUGGCCUUACAGAGCAGCGUCACCUCCUUCUCUCGUCGGUGGACGGAUAACGUGCAAGUUCUUGAGAGCCCAAUUACCCUGGUACGAAGUUCAAAACAAGACAACAACUUUUUGCAUCUUUGUUCGUACAAACUCUUGAGAAUAUUUUUCCAACACUUUUUCUAAUACUUCACGACGUUCUUUUGUAGCCGGACCGUUCUAUUCGGCUUGGGCUUCGACUUUAUGGACAUAAGUAUAUAGCAGUACAGUUGUGUCGUAGAAUCAUUACAUGCUCACUUUUGAUGCAUUUUCUUUGUCGUUUUACAUAAAUUUCCAACAAAGUAUGUCCCAAGCCCGUAUCCGAUUUUACUUACAUAUCCAAUUUGCGAAUCACACCGUUGUUCGGUGUUUCUUUGGUACAAACGUACGUGGGUCUUUUAUGAACACGCAUACAUAUUUGCCAAACUUGUCCCACAUUGAAAUUUUUGAAUCUACAAGUCUGUGUAUGUAUGGAAAAGUUGAGCGUUACCAUCGUCGAGCCACUUAACAAUGGCUUGUAACCCAAGUGGGGGCUUUAAGGUGGUUGGAGGUUGGUUCAUCGUAUCUUGUCGGAACUCUUAAGAGGACUACUUGCUUGCCCAUUCCAAGAAGGGAGUUGGGCCUCGCAUUCUAGACGAAAGUCCAAAGUGCGAUGCCUUUAGAUUGGAGGAAACCGCGUGAGGUUGGCCUUACAGAGCAGCGUCACCUCCUGCUCUCAUCGGUGGACGGAUAACGUGCAAGUUUUUGAGAGCCCAAUUACCUUGGUACGAAGUUCAAAACAAGACAACCAACUUUUUUCAUGGACAUAAGUAUAUAGCAGUACAGUUGUGUCGUAGAAUCAUUACAUGCUCACUUUUGAUGCAUUUUCUUUGUGGUCUUACAUAAAUUUCCAACAAAGUCUGUCCCAAGCCCGUAUCCGAUUUUAGUUACACAUCCAAUUUGCGAAUCACACCGUUGUUCGGUGCUUCUUUAGUACAAACGUACGUGGGUCUUUUAUGAACACGCAUACAUUCAUUGCCAAACUUGUCCCACAUUGAAAAUUUUUGAAUCUACAAGUCUGUGUAUGUAUGGAAAAGUUGAGCUUUACAUCGCCGAGCCACUUAACAAUGGCUUGUAACCCAAGUGGGGGCUUUAAGGUGGUUGGAGGUUGGUUCAUCGUAUCUUGUCGGAACUCUUAAGAGGACUACUUGCUUGCCCAUUCCAAGAAGGGAGUUGGGCCUCGCAUUUAGACGAAAGUCCAAAGUGCGAUGCCUUUAGAUUGGAGGAAACCGCGUGAGGUUGGCCUUACAGAGCAGCGUCACCUCAUGCUCUCGUCGGUGGACGGAUAGCGUGCAAGUUCUUGAGAGCCCAAUUAACCCUGGUACGAAGUUCAAAACAAGACAACCAACUUUUU
rnacentral:lncRNA from 1 species